rnacentral:rRNA from 1 species
GACGAACGCUGGCGGCGUGCUUACCCCAUGCAAGUCGAACGGAAAGGCCCUGCUUUUGGGGGGUGCUCGAGUGGCGAACGGUUGAGUAACACGUGAGUAACCUGCCCUUGACUUUGGGAUAACUUCAGAAAACUGGGGCUAAUACCGGAUAGGAGCUCCUGCGGCAUGGGGGGGGUUGGAAAGUUUCGGCGGUUGGGGAUGGACUCGCGGCUUAUCAGCUUGUUGGUGGGGUAGUGGCUUACCAAGGCUUUGACGGGUAGCCGGCCUGAGAGGGUGACCGGCCACAUUGGGACUGAGAUACGGCCCAGACUCCUACGGGAGGCAGCAGUGGGGAAUAUUGCACAAUGGGCGGAAGCCUGAUGCAGCAACGCCGCGUGCGGGAUGACGGCCUUCGGGUUGUAAACCGCUUUCGCCUGUGACGAAGCGUGAGUGACGGUAAUGGGUAAAGAAGCACCGGCUAACUACGUG